rnacentral:lncRNA from 1 species
CCCAGGCGGCGGUGGCGGCAGCAGCAGCAGUUUUGAAGCCCGAUUUCUCAAGGUGAUCAAUCCAGACCUCUGCCGUAUGUAACCACCUCCUGGUGACCACCUCCCUGUGGGACAGCUGGAUACAACCUACUUGACUCACCCUGAUGACUCCCACACCGCGUAUGGACUGUGCAGAUAUGUCACAAUGACCACCUCUCAGUCGCAGUGUGACUCCAUGGAGCUGGUGCUUGCUUUCUCUAAACUCAAUUAGGACUCACCUUGGGAAACCUGCCUUGGUAAUGUCCUGGACCCCAAAGCCUCUGCCCACAAGUCCCUCUCUCUUGCUCCUCACCCAGAGGUUGAGUGUGUGUUUCCUGGAUGACUGUCUUCUUCCCAUCAGUCCUGGUGAUGUGUCCUGCCCUUUU